rnacentral:rRNA from 1 species
UUAAGCGACUAAGCGUACACGGUGGAUGCCCUGGCAGUCAGAGGCGAUGAAGGACGUGCUAAUCUGCGAUAAGCGUCGGUAAGGUGAUAUGAACCGUUAUAACCGGCGAUUUCCGAAUGGGGAAACCCAGUGUGAUUCGUCACACUAUCAUUAACUGAAUCCAUAGGUUAAUGAGGCGAACCGGGGGAACUGAAACAUCUAAGUACCCCGAGGAAAAGAAAUCAACCGAGAUUCCCCCAGUAGCGGCGAGCGAACGGGGAGCAGCCCAGAGCCUGAAUCAGUGUGUGUGUUAGUGGAAGCGUCUGGAAAGGCGCGCGAUACAGGGUGACAGCCCCGUACACAAAAAUGCACAUACUGUGAGCUCGAUGAGUAGGGCGGGACACGUGGUAUCCUGUCUGAAUAUGGGGGGACCAUCCUCCAAGGCUAAAUACUCCUGACUGACCGAUAGUGAACCAGUACCGUGAGGGAAAGGCGAAAAGAACCCCGGCGAGGGGAGUGAAGAAGAACCUGAAACCGUGUACGUACAAGCAGUGGGAGCCUCUUAAUGGGGUGACUGCGUACCUUUUGUAUAAUGGGUCAGCGACUUAUAUUCUGUAGCAAGGUUAACCGAAUAGGGGAGCCGAAGGGAAACCGAGUCUUAACUGGGCGUUAAGUUGCAGGGUAUAGACCCGAAACCCGGUGAUCUAGCCAUGGGCAGGUUGAAGGUUGGGUAACACUAACUGGAGGACCGAACCAACUAAUGUUGAAAAAUUAGCGGAUGACUUGUGGCUGGGGGUGAAAGGCCAAUCAAACCGGGAGAUAGCUGGUUCUCCCCGAAAGCUAUUUAGGUAGCGCCUCGUGAAUUCAUCUCCGGGGGUAGAGCACUGUUUCGGCAAGGGGGUCAUCCCGACUUACCAACCCGAUGCAAACUGCGAAUACCGGAGAAUGUUAUCACGGGAGACACACGGCGGGUGCUAACGUCCGUCGUGAAGAGGGAAACAACCCAGACCGCCAGCUAAGGUCCCAAAGUCAUGGUUAAGUGGGAAACGAUGUGGGAAGGCCCAGACAGCCAGGAUGUUGGCUUAGAAGCAGCCAUCAUUUAAGAAAGCGUAAUAGCUCACUGGUCGAGUCGGCCUGCGCGGAAGAUGUAACGGGGCUAAACCAUGCACCGAAGCUGCGGCAGCGACGCUUAUGCGUUGUUGGGUAGGGGAGCGUUCUGUAAGCCUGCGAAGGUGUGCUGUGAGGAUGCUGGAGGUAUCAGAAGUGCGAAUGCUGACAUAAGUAACGAUAAAGCGGGUGAAAAGCCCGCUCGCCGGAAGACCAAGGGUUCCUGUCCAACGUUAAUCGGGGCAGGGUGAGUCGACCCCUAAGGCGAGGCCGAAAGGCGUAGUCGAUGGGAAACAGGUUAAUAUUCCUGUACUUGGUGUUACUGCGAAGGGGGGACGGAGAAGGCUAUGUUGGCCGGGCGACGGUUGUCCCGGUUUAAGCGUGUAGGCUGGUUUUCCAGGCAAAUCCGGAAAAUCAAGGCUGAGGCGUGAUGACGAGGCACUACGGUGCUGAAGCAACAAAUGCCCUGCUUCCAGGAAAAGCCUCUAAGCAUCAGGUAACAUCAAAUCGUACCCCAAACCGACACAGGUGGUCAGGUAGAGAAUACCAAGGCGCUUGAGAGAACUCGGGUGAAGGAACUAGGCAAAAUGGUGCCGUAACUUCGGGAGAAGGCACGCUGAUAUGUAGGUGAAGCGACUUGCUCGUGGAGCUGAAAUCAGUCGAAGAUACCAGCUGGCUGCAACUGUUUAUUAAAAACACAGCACUGUGCAAACACGAAAGUGGACGUAUACGGUGUGACGCCUGCCCGGUGCCGGAAGGUUAAUUGAUGGGGUUAGCGGUAACGCGAAGCUCUUGAUCGAAGCCCCGGUAAACGGCGGCCGUAACUAUAACGGUCCUAAGGUAGCGAAAUUCCUUGUCGGGUAAGUUCCGACCUGCACGAAUGGCGUAAUGAUGGCCAGGCUGUCUCCACCCGAGACUCAGUGAAAUUGAACUCGCUGUGAAGAUGCAGUGUACCCGCGGCAAGACGGAAAGACCCCGUGAACCUUUACUAUAGCUUGACACUGAACAUUGAGCCUUGAUGUGUAGGAUAGGUGGGAGGCUUUGAAGUGUGGACGCCAGUCUGCAUGGAGCCGACCUUGAAAUACCACCCUUUAAUGUUUGAUGUUCUAACGUUGGCCCCUAAUCGGGGUUGCGGACAGUGUCUGGUGGGUAGUUUGACUGGGGCGGUCUCCUCCUAAAGAGUAACGGAGGAGCACGAAGGUUGGCUAAUCCUGGUCGGACAUCAGGAGGUUAGUGCAAUGGCAUAAGCCAGCUUGACUGCGAGCGUGACGGCGCGAGCAGGUGCGAAAGCAGGUCAUAGUGAUCCGGUGGUUCUGAAUGGAAGGGCCAUCGCUCAACGGAUAAAAGGUACUCCGGGGAUAACAGGCUGAUACCGCCCAAGAGUUCAUAUCGACGGCGGUGUUUGGCACCUCGAUGUCGGCUCAUCACAUCCUGGGGCUGAAGUAGGUCCCAAGGGUAUGGCUGUUCGCCAUUUAAAGUGGUACGCGAGCUGGGUUUAGAACGUCGUGAGACAGUUCGGUCCCUAUCUGCCGUGGGCGCUGGAGAACUGAGGGGGGCUGCUCCUAGUACGAGAGGACCGGAGUGGACGCAUCACUGGUGUUCGGGUUGUCAUGCCAAUGGCACUGCCCGGUAGCUAAAUGCGGAAGAGAUAAGUGCUGAAAGCAUCUAAGCACGAAACUUGCCCCGAGAUGAGUUCUCCCUGACUCCCUGAGAGUCCUGAAGGAACGUUGAAGACGACGACGUUGAUAGGCCGGGUGUGUAAGCGCAGCGAUGCGUUGAGCUAACCGGUACUAAUGAACCGUGAGGCUUAACCUU